rnacentral:lncRNA from 1 species
AAACAUUACCAAGAAGGAAGACGAAGAGCAAAGAAAAGUUUAGACAAAAACCUCUUUCGAUAUAUUUUCUGCUACACAAAAAGCAAUUUUUCAGAAAUGGCUUCUACAAAGGCUGAUCAGUUUCUCGAGCUUGUUGCCGAACUCGAUCGUGUUAAUACAUCAACGAAUGUUGAUAAAGAUCAAGUCAAGGUAAGUGUUUGUGUUAAUGCUCUAAUAACUUUAUAUGUUUCUCGUCUUUUUCAAUUCUUCUGUACACAAAAAAAAACAAUAAUUAGUUUGUUUGUUUUACUAUAAAAUUCAGGAUUUGGAAAAGAGGUUGAUCCCUUACGUUGAAAAAAACGAAGAUGUCAUUACCAAAUAUCGAAAAGUUUUUCUACGUCUAAAGAUGGAAAAAAUACAGGAUAUGAUCAAGAGAAUCGAUAUUGACAAUAUGCUCAACCCAGCUUCCUCGUCACAGAAGAUCUCACGUUCUAUGGAUAGGAAGAAUUGGUAAUAUAUGUAUUUAUGAUGAUCAUAACCAUUAUGGAUCAUAUAUUAUCAAAUUCUCGUUUAUUUCUUCCUUCAAAGCUUUUAUGCAAUAUAUAAUUUGGGGUUUAUUGUUGUAAUAAUGGAGGAAGUUGUUUAUCUUUCUUUCCAAAAUACGAUUCUCAUAAUUAGUUAAUAAAUCUUAAUUAAAUUAAUAAUUUGUUUUCUUUCAUCAAUUCUCAUUACAUCUGUCUGUUGAACAAACUCCACUGUUUAACUUUUUGAUUUGCUUAUUGAACAAAAUAUUAUGUAUAUACGUCCUGAAAUGUCUUUUUAAAUGAAUUUUUCUGUAAGUUUAUUUUAAAAGAAUGUUGAUGAAUUUCAUUUUCAACACGGAAAAUUUGAAUAUGUAUCUAUUUAUAUCAAGUUUAUAUACCUUGUAUGUAUAAAACAUCAGAAUCAUCCUUCCAAUCAUGUGAAUACACAUCAGGGACAUCCUUCCAAACUUUAUAAAAUAUUUCCUUGUAUAAAAGACGGAAAAGAGUAAAAUGCGUAAUGAACAUAUGAAAUCAAGUGAACCAAAUAGUCUAAAACUUUCAAAAGCAGUUACAUUUCAGAAGUAUUCAGAUUGUAGAACCAAAUUGUGAGGAACAACGAUCAAGAAUGUUUAGGGAUCUUGAACUCCAAUUAUGAUUUUGUACUCUUCUUCACUUAAACAAUUGGGGAUCUAGAAAGCCAAUUUAUUUUCCCUUUCUCUAAAUGGAAAAUUUGGGAUUAUAAUACAAAUCUCCAUGGAACUUUAAAUCCAGUCCGUUGCAAAACAAAUUACAGUUGUUUUCAUAACAAAAUAUAUUAUAAAGUAGUAAAAUAGAUUUAUAACUUUUCAAUAAAACUGUGUACUGGAGUUUCUUAAUCGGGACAUUUGUGGUAUUACUAUUAACAAAAAAGAAAAUAAAGAUGGUGAAAAAUUAAAGCAAAGACUUUUGACGUAGAACAACACCAAUUCAUGAGUAGACAUUUAACUUAAUGCGUUUGUCACUUACUUGGCACAAUACAUUAUACAUCUGUCGAAAGGGUUUUCACUUUAUUAUCUUCUACCUCUAAAAGAAUUAUCGUCGUAAACUCUAGCAAAUACUCUUCUUCAUUUCAACAAUAUUUAUGAAAAUAAAUUAAUUUCUCAUUUCUCUUUGGCAAAUAGAGCCAAAAUUUUGGCAUUAGAUGGAGAAAAUCAAAUUCAGUCAGUUGAAAUAUUUGUGACAAAUUACUAUAAUGUUCUAGAGCUUCCUAAUCGGGACAUUGGUGGUAUUACUAUUAAUAAAAACAAAAGAUAAAAUCAAAGACCUAUGUAAAGAGCAACAUCAACACAAAAUGACAUAACUUAUAUAAGCUUACGUACCAACAUAACUUAAAUAAGCUUAUAAGAGCGUAUAUGCGUUUGAGUAACAACAUAUAUACAAUUUCAUAAAUGUCUUAAAAUGUGUAAACUCUUUUUCUAUUUAAUAAAAGCUUACCACGUACGUUCAGUUACAACAACGUAUUCAAAUAUAAUUACUAAAUGUAUCAAAAAGUUCAUCCAUUCACGCUAAAUGUAUCUGUUAAGUUAUUAUAAGUCCGUCCAUCCACACGUAUUUUCUGUUGAAGUGAUUUUUCUCUUCAAUAUAUGCAUUAAAAAUCACAUAUAAUAUAUACAUAUAUCUACUACUUUCAAAAAGAAAAUACUUAAAACCCCCAUCAAUGGUAGUAGAUAAAAUGAAAUAUUUUUGUUUUAUUAUAAUAAAUUGUGUACAAGUUGAAAAAUUAAGUAUCGUGUGUGUGUGUUAUUAACCCACCUGACACACCACAUCUAUAAAUAGAGGGAGAACUUUGCAGAAAAAUUAACAAAAGAAAGACCUAGACAUAAAAGUUUCCACUCUUGUGUCUUCUUCAUUCCAAGAAGAAAUCAAGAAAUGGAUCAUGGAGAAAUGAGCACUAAGGAAACUACCACUUUGAAGCUUAUACCCGGGUACGAAAAUGUGAUGGAGCUCGAGCAAAGAAGACAAGAGCUGAAGGUAAGUCUUUAUUUGAAUUGAUUCUAUAUUUUUAUAUACUUUUUUUUGUCUACAAGUAUUAAGAUUAUCGUUAAAAAUUAGGCUGUCGAGAAGAGGAUGGAAAAUGUUAUUGGAGAAAAAGAGAUUGACGAUCUAAACUUGACAGAAUUAAUUGAGUUCGAGAAGAAGCUUGAAGAUAUCCAAAGUCUACAGUUGAAGGUAAGUAGUGCUCAUUUUAUCACUCUUUAAAUUUAUUGUUUAUGUUUAUAAAAAUCUAUUUUUUAAUUGAUUUGUGUAGAAGUUGGAAAAGAUUCCUUGGAAAGACAUGAUACAGCCAGCCAAAGAUCUUGUAGUUCUGAACGAAUAUGUCAAGUUUAAGAUUGGAGAAAUGCAGGCUAGGAUUUCCAUGCCUCAAAACGACGAAUUUGAUAUUAAAAUGGAAGUAGGAAAAAAGGAAGAUUUGAAGGUAAAAUGUUGGUUAAUUUUUGUUUUUUCUUUUUAUAUGUCUACACAACAUUAAUUAUAACUUCUUAAAAAUAUAGGGUUUGAAAAUGAGGAUGAAAGUGUUCAUUGGAGAAAAGGAGUCUGAAGACAUACACUUGGAGGAAUUGAUUGAGUUCAGUAAAAAGCUUGAAGCUCUUCACCCAAAGGUUAGUAGUGUUUAACAUUUUUUUUCUUAUUAUAUAUGUUUAUUUUGGUCUGCAAAUUGUUUUCUAAGUUUCCCUUUUUAAUUUCGUGAAGAGCGUGAUGCAUUUGGACGACAUGACAGAAGAAAUUAAAGAUAUAUUCAUUAUGAAAGAAAUUGUGAAGAAAAUGAUCGCGAAGAGGGAUCCUAACUCGUCUAAAACGAUGAUCAUCCAGAAUUAUUUUUAAUUAGAAAUUAGUAACAUAUAAAUUCAUUAUCAUGGAUCAUAUAUGAUCACUUUGUCGCUUGUUUCUCCCAUUACAUAUUUACAGAAUAAUUUGGGAUUAUUUUAAUAUCAAUGGAAGGAACUUAUGUUGUUAUUUUAUAUUUUAAUCGGAUUUUCUCAUAAUUAAAAGAUAUUUUUUUCUAAUGGCUAUUGCAUAAAUUUCAUACUUUGGUUUUCAAAGUUUAUGUGUACAUCGACUACUAUGUUAAAUUUUGUUUUAUAUCAACUUAUUGUAAAUAAGUUAUAAAAACAUAUGAGAUGAUCGCCUAAAGGUUACAAAUUAUAAAACAUGGUGUGUCUUUAAAUGCGUCAAACAUAGGAUUAUGCAUUUUUACAAAAAAAAAAUGUUUGAAAUUUUUUGAGUCGUCGUUAAAUUGAUCCAAUGGAUAUAAAAAGAAUAACAUACAAAAGAGUUUGGUAAGAAAAAAUUUAGUUGCGGUUUUCGUCAAAAAGACAUAGAAAAUGUAAUAUAGCAAAGACUUUUGCCGAAGAACAACAACAACAUGGUAAUACAUUAUUACUGUCUUUAUGAAUUUCACAUACUGAACAAACAUCUAUAUAUGGAAGAAAGGGUUAACAAGAACGAAGAAAAAGAGCAAAUAGAAAUUAGACAUCCAAUAAUGAACUUAGUCCAUUUAUAUUCGUUUAUUGUGAUAACGAAAAUAUUUUGUUUUUAUAAAGUUAAAUUCUUAAUACUUCAUAAUCAUUUAGAGCCAUUAGCGAAGGUUAAGAUUUUUGUUGUUGUUGCUGUUGUGAUCGAAUCUUGGAUAACCUCUGUAACUAAUCAAUGGGGGUCCAAUAAACUGUAUCAAAACCGGAAUAAACCGAACAAAAUAGAUAUUUUAUUGUAGUAAUUAAAUGAAGUUACUGUACAGGCUUAAACCCUAACGGUCUAACCAACGCAAUAUUUAAUUUUGUUAUACUGACUAAACCUCGAAGUUAGUGCCUUUAUACGUUCGUUUACUAUUCCUUAAAGUGAUUCUUCUCAUUCCCUUUCUACUCGUUCAUUUCAAUCCAUGGUUAGGGUUCCACCUUUUAAACCCUCCAAAGAAGGUGAUCCAAAGUUGGAAACUUUCAAGGAUAAUCUUGAUUCCAUAGUCAGGUUUGGGAUUGGCGAAGAACUCAGAGUGAGCUCCACACCUCUUGAUGCUAUGGAGCAUCAAUCACCAGCGAAAGAUUUAGAAUCUGCUGUUGCUAAUCAAAGUGAUCUAAAGGGGAAAACUUCUAAGUAUCCUCUUCUUGACCUUUCUUUUAAAGAUUCUGUUGCUGGUUUUGAUUCCCUCGACUUGUUUUGGAGAACUCCGAACUUUGUGGGAUAUAUCGAGGAACCUCUUGAUAUUUAUUUGAGAGAUUCGUUCAAUUACGUCGGCUCUUUCCGUCAUGUUUCUGUGGCUGCUGAACCAUCCGUGAAAGAGUCAGAAUCGGUUGUUUCUGAGCCAUUUGUAUCUGAUUCGUCUAUUUCUUGUCACACGGAGGUGAAUAUGAGAGAUGAUCAUCAAAAACAUAAGGGUGAGAAGGCCAAAAAGAAAACUCUUAAUGAUGAAAUCGUGAGCCUAUCGUCUUGUAGAAGAGCUGAAGAGAAGAAGUGUGAUGAUGAAGAGGACAAAGAGGGCGUUGAUAAGAGUGUAGAUGAUAGUUUGAGUACAGAAGAAGCUACGAUGUCAAAGGUCAUUACUAAUAUCAUCUUCACCCUUUGCUCUGAUUUCACAAGUUUUGUUAAACAAUAUAUAUGAAAAUCUGUUUAAAUUUUGCAGGAGCUUGCUUCAGUUCCAUUUGUGAAUAUUGGUUCUUCGGUAUUGUUAAAAGUCUUUAUAAUUCUAUCUUAUGUACUAGUUUUGCUUCUUCUGUGUUGAUUUCUUAGCAAAUUUAUCUUCCUUGAAUCAGCAGGUGUUAGACAAAAAACAGCAGAAGAAUAUGGCAACAAAGAGAAGAAGUGACGAGACGAAAACGUGUAGCACAAGUAACAAGAAGAAUAAAAACGUAUUGGUGUCUCCUAGAAGAUUAGAAGCAGAAACAUGGCUGUCUCUUCCAUACCCAUAUCAUCAUUAUCCAAUAAAAUAUCAGAUUAUGCAGAGUUCGAUUCAGAUGCAGCAUUCCGGGAUUGGAACAGAGCCUUUAGUUACAUUUGUAGGUCAAAACCGUUUAAACCAACCCAUUGGAGGUAUUGUUGGUCUUAGUGAGUUUCCCCAAGUUAUUCAGGAGCUUUAUUCUCUUCCUAAUGCACCGCCACUUCCCAACCUCAAUCUCCAAAUACACCCACAGCCUCAUCUCGGUGGUAGAGUUCGAAAGGAGCAGCCUUGAUAGCUUAUUUGUUCUUGUUUUUGAUACAUGAUUUUGAAGUUUUAAAGGCAACUACUCUCGCAAAGGUUUUUCGAAAUUUUCUGAUAGAUUGUAUAUCCAUGUUUAGUUGGAUUAAAUAUCAAAGAUCUCUUACAGUUAGUUUCGUUCUUAAUCCAAACUACUGCAGCCUGACAGACAAAUGAGGAUGCAAACAAUUUUAAAGUUUAUCUAACGCUAGCUGUUUUGUUUCUUCUCUCUGGUGCACCAACGACGGCGUUUUCUCAAUCAUAAAGAGGCUUGUUUUACUUAAGGCCAAUAAUGUUGAUGGAUCGAAAGAAGAGGGCUUUUAAUAAACGAGCCCGUUUAAGCUGUAAACGAUGUCAAAAACAUCCCACAUCGUUCAGUUGAAAAUAGAAGCUCUGUUUAUAUAUUGGUAGAGUCGACUAAGAGAUUGUCCCUUCGGGGACAUCUGAUAAAAUUGGAACGAUACAGAGAAGAUUAGCAUGGCCCCUGCGCAAGGAUGACACGCAUAAAUCGAGAAAUGGUCCAAAUUUUUUUGGAUAGAAUUUCCCAGCUUUUUUGCGUGUUUCAGCUCUCAUGAUCCUUGGCCAAUGGGUGUAGUAAAUUUUCUGCACAUUCAUUGGAUGGAAAAUAAUGGUUUUAGCUUUAGGGAAUAAGAAAAGUGUAUAGGAAGGGGAUUUUUGUACAAUCACAUUUGAAUUAGGUCUUUGAAAUGACAGGGAAUGAGGACAUAUGAUGAAGCUCUGUCCCAUCCAAGAAGUUGGCCAGUGUUCUUGUCUCAGAUUGUGGUUUGGCCCUCACAUAAACAGCUUCAUAACCUUUUGGGUGGAGGGUUAACUUGAUUUUGCAGCAAAGAAGAGGCUUUUCCUUUAUGUAUUAGGUUGCUUGUGAAUUGGCCCUUGAGGAGAAGAACGUUAAUCUAAAAAUCUAUAUCAGUUAUUUUUACUCAACUAUAUGAAACGAUAUAUUCGAGAUUUAUGUAGUAAACACAUAAUCCAACCAUAAACUCAUGGGACAUUUAUAUGCCAAGCUUUAAUGGACAUGAUUGCAUAUAUUCUAAAUUAUUUAAACAAAACUUAUUUUAUUAUUAAAAGAUGACUGAAAAGAUGAAUGACAUAACUUCCUUCACCUCGAAUAACCAAAAUUGUUUGAUAAUUUUUUUAAGGAAAAAAAGAGCGACAAUAGAUAAGGGAUUAUAUCUUUUUAUUUGAAUAGUUCCGAAUAAUUUAGGCCAAAACUUAUUUGUUUUUCUGUAGGGAAGAUAACUCCACCCUCUUCUUCGAGAGACACUAUAGAGACAACGAAG